rnacentral:rRNA from 1 species
AGAGUUUGAUCAUGGCUCAGGACGAACGCUGGCGGCGUGCUUAAUACAUGCAAGUCGAACGAGGUCCAUCCGGUGGCAACACCGGUGAAGAUCUAGUGGCGAACGGGUGAGUAGCACGUGAGCAACCUGCCCCGAAGACUGGGAUAACACCGGGAAACCGGUGCUAAUACCGGAUACCCCCAUCGGACCGCAUGGUCCGAUGAGGAAAGGAUUCUGCUUCGGGAGGGGCUCGCGGCCUAUCAGCUUGAUGGUGAGGUAACGGCUCACCAUGGCAACGACGGGUAGCUGGUCUGAGAGGACGAUCAGCCACACUGGGACUGAGACACGGCCCAGACUCCUACGGGAGGCAGCAGUAGGGAAUCUUGCGCAAUGGGCGAAAGCCUGACGCAGCAACGCCGCGUGAGGGACGAAGGCUUUCUGAGUUGUAAACCUCUUUCAGCAGGGACGAUUGUGACGGUACCUGCAGAAGAAGCACCGGCCAACUACGUGCCAGCAGCCGCGGUGAUACGUAGGGUGCGAGCGUUGUCCGGAUUUAUUGGGCGUAAAGAGCUCGUAGGCGGUUCGAUAAGUCGGGUGUGAAAUCUCCAGGCUCAACCUGGAGUCGCCACUUGAUACUGUCGUGACUAGAGUCCGGUAGGGGACCAUGGAACUCCUGGUGUAGCGGUGAAAUGCGCAGAUAUCAGGAAGAACACCAGUAGCGAAGGCGGUGGUCUGGGCCGGCACUGACGCUGAGGAGCGAAAGCGUGGGGAGCGAACAGGAUUAGAUACCCUGGUAGUCC